rnacentral:rRNA from 1 species
AACGAACGCUGGCGGCAGGCCUAACACAUGCAAGUCGAGCGAGGACUUCGGUCCUAGCGGCGGACGGGUGAGUAACGCGUGGGAACGUGCCCUUUGCUUCGGAAUAGCCCUGGGAAACUGGGAGUAAUACCGGAUGAGCCCUUUGGGGGAAAGAUUUAUCGGCGAAGGAUCGGCCCGCGUUGGAUUAGGUAGUUGGUGGGGUAAUGGCCUACCAAGCCGACGAUCCAUAGCUGGCUUGAGAGGAUGAUCAGCCACACUGGGACUGAGACACGGCCCAGACUCCUACGGGAGGCAGCAGUGGGGAAUCUUAGACAAUGGGGGAAACCCUGAUCGAGCCAUGCCGCGUGAGCGAUGAAGGCCUUAGGGUUGUAAAGCUCUUUCAGCUGGGAAGAUAAUGACGGUACCAGCAGAAGAAGCCCCGGCUAACUCCGUG